AUGAUACUCAGAGCCAAUUAAUUGGUGAUGUUGCUCCUAGUGGGGAGCUAAGUCAAGGCACCCCUAGUGAGGAGCCGAGUUAAAGCCAGUCUGUAAGGAGGGGGAGACAUGGCACACGAUUAAAAGAUCUGACAUUAAGUAGGAGUGCUGGGCGUAGGUUAUCAAUUCAAUUUGACCGGAGAUGGAAUCCGAUAGGGCCACAUAAAGCCAAGUUUGUUAGUUUUCUUGGCCUCCUAUCGCGUACCAAGCCUCCUAUUGUGUUUGAGGAUUGGCCAGAUGUGCCAGAACGUGUGAAGGAACAGAUUUGGGAAAGUACUUAGCUCACAUAUGAUGUUCCAUCUAAUCAAGAUUGUCGACACAAAUUGAUUUCUUACUGUGGAACACGUUGGAGAAAUUUUAAGAUUAAUCUUGCUAGAAGAUAUAUCUUUAUCGAGGUGCCAGAGGGUCAGGCUCGUCCCAAUCCUCUUGAUACAUACCAGUUUCUUGAUGAAGAUACUUGGGAAGAAUUUGUCAGGAUUCGGACUUCUGAAAAGGCUAUGGAAAAACGAGCUAAAGGGUGAGAAAUUGCUCGGUAGAAUCAAUGCCCCCACACCUUAUCUCGUGGAGGUUAUGCUAGAGCUGAUGAUAUACUGAUGGCAAAGAAACAGAAGAAGAGAGAAGAAGAAGCCAAGUCUGAUCCUUCCAUACUCUUUUCUCCACUAUGACCUGUCUCUCGAGAGGAGAAAUGGAGAUAUAGACAUCAGUACAAGAAAGGAGGCUAUACAAGUGAGACAGCACGGGAGAUUGCCGAGAGGAUUAUAAGAUACUCUUAAGGAGCAACAAGCCCAAGGAAUCUUCAUUUCAGAGGGCAGAAAUGAUAUCUUAACAGUUGCUACAGGCAAGCCAGAGCAUCCGGGUUGUGUGAGGGGCGUUGGAUAUGGUGUAGGCAUUAAGGAUUACUUUGGAGCACCUGCACGUCUCAAUUCAGGAGGUGUAGUGACUAGAAAAGAGCUUGAUACAUUGAUAUCCACUGUGAGGCAACAGACUAAGGAUGAGUUUGAAGCUUCAUUUGAAGCUCGGCUUCUACAAAUGAAAGAGCAAAUGAAGGAGGAGAUGAUGAGCAUGAUGAGCUCACGAUAAGAGACAACUGCUGAACCAGUUCAUACAUCUCCUGCAUUUCAUAGUACAAAAGGGAGUAAUAUUCUUGAGCAUGUGUCAGAGGGUCCUUCUGGUGACAACAUUGGUGAGCUAUGUGAGAUAUUUCUAGAAGAUCCUGAUAAACACUUGGUUGCUCUUGGUAGCAUCUAUAGCUUGGGGUCAACCAUCCACCACAAGCAAAUUCAAGAUGAUCAAGUAAGAGUGGUGGUUGCAGAUCCAAAAGUGCUAGAUGCUUUGGUUUCAUUCCCUACUAAUGAGGUGAAGACUGUGGUUGAAGCUAUUGGCAAUUUUAUCCUAUGGCCCAAGAGACUUGUGAAUCUAGUUCAAACUGUGAAGCUUUCCUCAUCGAAUCUUCCAAAGCUUCCACAACCCUCGUUGACUCCGCAUCAGCGAAUGAUUUUAAUGGCGUAUGAUUUAUCAUUCAAGUUCAAGAGUUUAGAAAUGGAUCUGGAGGUUGUGGGCAAGAAAGACAUGAUAGUGACAAUUGAAUUGGAAGAUUUGGUUCGACUUCUGUCAAAUAAUUAACUUACCACACCAUACAUUGAACUAUUUAUGAUGUAUCUUCAUCAUUUGUGCAUUACAUCAGGCAAAGGUGAUAAGUUUGGAUUCCUUUGCCCUCAUCACAUGACAGAGAAAGGUAAUACUCCAGAGUUAAGAGCCACGUACCUCCAACAGAGAAUAUGUGAAGUCCAAAAGGACGUUUUUAUGGCUCCAUAUGUGCACUCGGACCAUUGGCAGUUAUUUGUUCUUUCAAUGAAGAGCAACACUGUCGUCUUUUUAUGCUCCCUCCAUUACAAACUUGGGAAAGAAAUGAAGAAGACGAUAGACUUGGCAAUGAGAACAUAUCAAAAUGUAGUCUUACAAAAGCAUGGACAUGAGCUCAAGGAUCCCACAUGGAUUGAGCCAAAGAGUCAUAGACAACCGGUGAGGACGAACUUGUGUGGUCUAUAUGUCAUGAGGCACAUGCUCAAUAUUAUCACAUUAAGCAUGACCGAAUUUACAAAAGAGAUGUUCGACAAUUCGGAUGCAUUUUCUGAAGCUAAAAUUGAAGACAUCCGCAUACGUUGGGCAACCUAUUUUGUGGAGAACUUGUGAGGAUUGGAGAUGAAAGAUGGAUGCAAGCUUACAAUCCUUAAUGCCGCAUGAGAUUCUUGAUUAACAGGUGCUAAUAUUGAAUCCAUAUGUCGUUUCAUCUCUUCUAAAAAAACAGUGAAGAUAAGUGUUGAGUUAUACUCGAUCUUGUAUGCAUGUUUACUUAAGGGACAUUGGAGUGUUGUGUUUUGAAAACUUUGCAGAUGUUUGAGCGCUCUUUGUGUGUAAUGUUGGAUUAAACAUAUUUUCUCAUGGCACAUUGGAUUCUGCAUAUGUAUGUCAGAUUUCGCCGCCUUUUGUAUGGUUUGUUGGUGAACUAAAUAUUUUUAUUAUGGAUAUGUA